GACGUAGGGUGCAAGCGUUGUCCGGAUUUAUUGGGCGUAAAGAGCGUGUAGGCGGCCAAACAGGUCAGCUGUGAAAACUCGAGGCUCAACCUCGAGACGCCGAUGGAAACCAUCUGGCUAGAGUCCGGAAGAGGAGAGUGGAAUUCCCGGUGUAGCGGUGAAAUGCGCAGAUAUCGGGAAGAACACCCGUGGCUAAGGCGGCUCUCUAGUACGGUACUGACGCUGAGACGCGAAAGCGUGGGGAGCGAACAGG
rnacentral:rRNA from 1 species